AUGAUUGCAGAAUUUGACGUGGUAAUGCAAGAUCAUCUUAGACGUAUUGAGAAUAAAGAAAUCCAUUAUCAUUAUCUCAGUCACAAAAUACAGAAUGAGUUGAUAUCUCUGUUGGCUUUUGACAUCAUAUGUUCUAUUAUAAAGGUUGUUAAAGAGGCUAAGUAUUUCUCUGUUAUCCUAGAUUGUACCCCUGAUGUUAGUCAUCAAGAACCAAUGACUUUUUUAGUCCGAUGUGUUAAUCUGUUUGAUGGCAAAAUAAAAAUUGAGGAGUACCUUUUGGGGUUCUUGAAAGUGGAUGACACUUCUGGCUUAGGGAUUUUUAAAGUUUUGCUUCAAUCUAUUGAGUCUUUUGGCCUAAAUAUUAAUGAUAUAAGGGGUCAAGGAUAUGACAAUGGUUCUAAUAUGAAAGGAAAAUACCGAGGGGUA
rnacentral:rRNA from 1 species